CCGAAAGCUAUUUAGGUAGCGCCUCGUGAAUUCAUCUCCGGGGGUAGAGCACUGUUUCGGCAAGGGGGUCAUCCCGACUUACCAACCCGAUGCAAACUGCGAAUACCGGAGAAUGUUAUCACGGGAGGCACACGGCGGGUGCUAACGUCCGUCGUGAAGAGGGAAACAACCCAGACCGCCAGCUAAGGUCCCAAAGUCAUGGUUAAGUGGGAAACGAUGUGGGAAGGCCCAGACAGCCAGGAUGUUGGCUUAGAAGCAGCCAUCAUUUAAAGAAAGCGUAAUAGCUCACUGGUCGAGUCGGCCUGCGCGGAAGAUGUAACGGGGCUAAACCAUGCACCGAAGCUGCGGCAGCGACGCUUAUGCGUUGUUGGGUAGGGGAGCGUUCUGUAAGCCUGUGAAGGUGUGCUGUGAGGUAUGCUGGAGGUAUCAGAAGUGCGAAUGCUGACAUAAGUAACGAUAAAGCGGGUGAAAAGCCCGCUCGCCGGAAGACCAAGGGUUCCUGUCCAACGUUAAUCGGGGCAGGGUGAGUCGACCCCUAAGGCGAGGCCGAAAGGCGUAGUCGAUGGGAAACAGGUUAAUAUUCCUGUACUUGGUGUUACUGCGAAGGGGGGACGGAGAAGGCUAUGUUGGCCGGGCGACGGUUGUCCCGGUUUAAGCGUGUAGGCUGGUUUUCCAGGCAAAUCCGGAAAA
rnacentral:rRNA from 1 species